GACAACAUGAGCUAGUACAAGGUCCACUUUCAUAAAAUGAAUUCCCAAAUUCAUCUUUUAAUCUCUUUUGUGUUUUGUUUGUUUGUGUGCUAAUUGAGCACCAACAUGUCACUUGUCUGAAAUUCUGCUCUUCAGUUUUCAGGCCUUGAACCAUGAAGAUAGGCACUUGCUAUUUCUUUACACAAGGUCAUAGUUCAAUGAAAGUCAACUUGUUUAGCUCAUGUCCGAUAUUACUAUGAUGAUGAG
rnacentral:misc_RNA from 1 species